GUGGUUGUAGUUCAGUUGGUUAGAGCGUCAGAUUGUGGUUCUGAAUGUCGUGGGUUCGAGUCCCAUCUACCACC
rnacentral:tRNA from 1 species